GCAUUUUGCAUCUUUCUGCAGCCAGGGAGCUGCUUAGAGGCUACAAGCCCUUCGUGACUGCUGCAUCAUGGGUGAGGGCAAUGGUGUAGAAUGACUCACCGAGAGGAAGGAGGAGGAUGUGCUGAGAUCUGGUUAUAGGUCUCUUGGAUUAAUGCCUCAGAGGAAAACUAUUGAGUAACAGGGGAGCUCAUUUAGGGUAACUCUGGGACUCUUGCUCUCCAUUACUCAACCUUCCCUCAGGGAUGAUGGAGCAUCUUGACUAAUAGUCUAGAAUUUUGGCUCCGGAGUCAAACCAAUCUGGAUUUUCACUCUAGGCUUUCUGUUGUCACUUAGUCACUAAUUGCUGCAUGACUUGGGUUUCUGCAUGACCUCCCUGAGCCACUUGCUUUUUCAUCCAUAUGACUGGAAAUCUGCCCACCACACAGGGUUGCCAAUAAAGAAACUUAAGAAGACAUAAUAUAUAACUGCCAAUAUCAUCAAGGAAGAGGAUGAUCUCUAAGGACAUACAAAGAGGCAAAUGCAACCUAGAGGAGGAUUGAUAGAAGACUGAAGUCUCCACUGCAUUUGGCAGUCAAAAGGGUUGAGAAAACCAACCUAAGAAGAAAAGUGAUGAAUUGAUGAUAUUUUGCCCAGAGCUGUUGAGCACUUCUGGAGAAGAGGAACAUGGAGAAGACAUUUGUUGAGUCCCUAUUACAUGCCAGGCAAUUCCCAUACACAAUUUACUUUAUCUUCACAACCACCCUGUGAUGGCUGUGGAUUUCCCAUUUCCCAUCAGUCCAAAGCUAUGAGCGCAGAUGAAAGGCAACAUGGAUCUGUGAACUACUGCUCUCCCUUUAGAGGAACUGACUUUCAGCUUUCAGCCACAUGCAUGAAAAAGGCUGUUUCCAUCUGUCGACCUGUCAGGCUGCCUCCCUCUUAGGCUUCUUUCCUCCCUCCUUGGAGUUUCUUCAAUAAAACAUUUCACUCCCUGGAAAAGCAACUCCCCUGAGUGGUGUGGUGGGAAGGCCCAAUAUAGUUCCAUUCAACUCUCUGGGGAUGAGGUAGAGAUAGCCUCCCUUCACAUAACUUUCUCAGCAAGUGGUAUUUCUGUUUCCUCUCCCUUCCAACAAACUACCCCCAAAUAAGUCCUGGUUAUUCUCCCAAGGCAUGAGUUCCAUUCUCCCCCAAUUUCUGUGGAGAACCAGCUCUCCCUCCUCUGCCUUCAGUGGGACUCUCCUUUGCAAGCCAAAUGAUGUAUAGCGAUUGA